rnacentral:rRNA from 1 species
GGUGGAUGAUGUGGUUUAUUUCGAUGCAACGCGAAAAACUUUACCCACUUUUGACAUGUACGGAAUUUCCCAGAGAUGGUUUAGUGUCGAAGGAAGCCGUAACACAGGUGCUGCAUGGCUGUCGUCAGCUCGUGUCGUGAGAUGUUGGGUUAAGUCCCGCAACGAGCGCAACCCUUGUCAUUAGUUGCUACAUUCAGUUGGGCACUCUAAUGAGACUGCCGGUGACAAACCGGAGGAAGGUGGGGAUGACGUCAAGUCCUCAUGGCCCUUAUAGGUGGGGCUACACACGUCAUACAAUGGCUGGUACAAAGGGUUGCCAACCCGCGAGGGGGAGCUAAUCCCAUAAAACCAGUCGUAGUCCGGAUCGCAGUCUGCAGCUCGACUGCGUGAAGUCGGAAUCGCUAGUAAUCGUGGAUCAGAAUGUCACGGUGAAUACGUUCCCGGGUCUUGUACACACCGCCCGUCACACCAUGGGAGCGGGUUCUGCCAGAAGUAGUUAGCUUAACCGCAAGGAGGGCGAUUACCACGGCAGGGUUCGUGACUGGGGUGAAGUCGUAACAAGGUAU